GGCUCAGCGGCACAGAAUGCUGUCGCCCUGCUUGUUCACCGCGCCGGCCUGGAACAGCAACCGAACACCAAGGCUCUCACCGGGUCGGUGUUGAGCGCAGUGAGCGGGGUCCGCGGCGGCGCGGCUGGACAGGUCCCGGCCGGGUGGUGUGGCGGCGCGGGCGGUGGUGGCUGCCUCAGCUCUUUACCUGAAGAUGCCUUUCUAAGAAUUCACACUCUAAAUAGGAACCUCCAGUUCACUAAGUAGCCGCCUCAUAGUUGCACAUUAUUCCAACUGUGCAAGCAACAGCUGUGAAUGAGAGAAAUGCAUAUCAUCAUAGAGCUUAUGGAGCUCAAUAUGUUAGUUCUGUUUAUUCAAAAGACCACCUGUGUUUCUGGGGAAACUGGAGAAGUUCCAAAGGAGAAUGAAGACACAGCAGACAGUCAUGAAACCUUCAGAGCCGUAAGCAGAAACAUCAUUGCUUUGGGUUAAACACAAUGUGACAGUCCUGUGGGAAAGCAGCUGGUCUACCUGAGAGUGGGUUUAUGAGCCAAGCUCUGGU
rnacentral:lncRNA from 1 species